ACCUUGUCAGCUGAUAUGAAAGCUGCUAGCUGAUUGGAGAGCUGGCUAGCGGGUCCAUGACCAUGACUUCUGUUUUGUUUGAUCCGCCGUUUUACUGCCGUGUUACAGACAACUUUUGGAAAAAAUUAAGUUUGCAACCUUGUCAACUGAUAUGAAAGCUGCUAGCUGAUUGGAGAGCUAGGUUGCGCAGCUAGCGGGUCCAUGACCAUGACUUCUGUUUUGUUUGAUCAGCCGUUUUACCGCCCUGUUAUAGACCCCAUUUGGAAACAAUUAAGUUUACAACCUUGUCAGCUGAUAUGAAAGCUGCUAGCUGAUUGGAGAGCUGGCUAGCGGGUCCAUGACCAUGACUUCUGUUUUGUAUGAUCCGCCGUUUUACUGCCGUGUUACAGACAACUUUUGGAAA